rnacentral:lncRNA from 1 species
AUCCAGGCCUGGGGAUAUCCUCAUCCGCCUCCCAGAAUCGGGCCGUGGGGGACAGAAGGGGCCUGCGUGCGGGCAGGGAGAGUAUUUUGGCUCUCUCCUGUCUUCGGGGUUUACAAAGUGUGUUGGGACUUGCGGGGCUGCUCUGUCCAAGCCUGGGUCUGGCGUCCGCGUCUCUGAGCCUCCUUGAAAAGAUCUUUUGAGGUCGAGGAGGUCGAGACACCCAACUCCACCCCACCCCGGAGGGUCCAGACUCCCCUACUCCGAGCCACUGUGGCCAGCUCCACCCAGAAAUUCCAGGACCUGGGCGUGAAGAACUCAGAACCCUCGGCCCGCCAUGUGGACUCCCUAAGCCAACGCUCCCCCAAGGCGUCCCUGCGGAGGGUGGAGCUCUCGGGCCCCAAGGCGGCCGAGCCGGUGUCCCGGCGCACUGAGCUGUCCAUUGACAUCUCGUCCAAGCAGGUGGAGAACGCCGGGGCCAUCGGCCCGUCCCGGUUCGGGCUCAAGAGGGCCGAGGUGUUGGGCCACAAGACGCCAGAACCGGCCCCUCGGAGGACGGAGAUCACCAUCGUCAA